rnacentral:misc_RNA from 1 species
GAUGAAGAACGUAGCGAAAUGCGAUAAGUAAUGUGAAUUGCAGAAUUCAGUGAAUCAUCGAAUCUUUGAACGCACAUUGCGCCCCUUGGUAUUCCGAGGGGCAUGCCUGUUCGAGCGUCAUUAUAACCCCUCAAGCUCAGCUUGGUGUUGGGGCCUGCUGCACUGGCAGCCCUUAAAAUCAGUGGCGGCGCCAUCUGGCUCUAAGCGUAGUAAUUCUUCUCGCUAUGGAGACCUGGUGGAUGCUUGCCAUCAACCCCCAAUUUUUCUAUGGUUGACCUCGGAUCAGGUAGGGAUACCCGCUGAACUUAAGCAUAUCAAUAAGCGGAGGA